AUGCCGCUCUCCAGUCUGCUCUGGGUAUUCCUGGCCUUCACCUUCUCUGGAUCUGGUGUGGCCCAGAAAGUUACUCAAGACCAGCCAGACAUAUCCAGUCAAGUUGGGGAGUCAGCCACCAUGAACUGUCAGUAUGAGACAAGUCAGAACAAUUAUAACAUUUUUUGGUAUAAGCAGCUUCCCAGUGGAGAGACGAUUUACCUUAUUGGUCAGAAUUCGUAUAGCCCGAAUGCAAGGGAUGGCCGCUACUCCAUAAAUUUUCAGAGAUCACGUAAAGCCAUCAGCCUCAUUAUCUCAGCCUUAAAGCUGGAAGACUCUGCAAAGUACUUCUGUGCUCUCUGGGAACUCACAGUGGUUGAAGUGAUAGGAAAACUUUGA